AGUGAACGCUGGCGGCAGGCCUAACACAUGCAAGUCGAACGGCAGCACAGUAAGAGCUUGCUCUUACGGGUGGCGAGUGGCGGACGGGUGAGGAAUACAUCGGAAUCUACUUUUUCGUGGGGGAUAACGCAGGGAAACUUACGCUAAUACUGCAUACGACCUACGGGUGAAAGCAGGGGACCUUCGGACCUUGCGCGAUUGAAUGAGCCGAUGUCGGACUAGCUAGUUGGCGGGGUAAAGGCCCACCAAGGCGACGAUCCGUAGCUGGUCUGAGAGGAUGAUCAGCCACACUGGAACUGAGACACGGUCCAGACUCCUACGGGAGGCAGCAGUGGGGAAUAUUGGACAAUGGGCGCAAGCCUGAUCCAGCCAUACCGCGUGGGUGAAGAAGGCCUUCGGGUUGUAAAGCCCUUUUGUUGGGAAAGAAAAGCAGCAGGUUAAUACCCCGCUGUUCUGACGGUACCCAAAGAAUAAGCACCGGCUAACUUCGUG
rnacentral:rRNA from 1 species